rnacentral:rRNA from 1 species
UACGUAGGUGGCAAGCGUUGUCCGGAUUUACUGGGCGUAAAGCGUGUGUAGGCGGAUGCUUAAGUAGAAAGUGAAAGGUGGGAGCUUAACUCCUACAGGGCUUUCUAUACUGGGCGUCUGGAGUGCCGGAGAGGAAGAUGGAACGACCCGUGUAGCGGUGAAAUGCGUUGAUAUGGGUCGGAACACCAAUGGCGAAGGCAGUCUUCUGGACGGUAACUGACGCUGAGACACGAAAGCCAAGGGAGCGAACAGG